CCUCUUCACUUCGAGUAGUUGAAGGCGGAGAAGAGUGAAGGUGGUAGAUUCAUUCCGCAGAGAAACCCAACCACCCACCCACCCACCAUGGCGAACCACCCACCCACCCACCAUGGCGAACCAACCUGAAUCCUCCGAUUUUAAGGGGACGAAGAGGGAUUUUAGCACCGCGAUUUGGAGCGGAAGAAGGCGCUGAAUCUAUUUUCUCUCUGAUUUCUUCUCCACCUAGGGUUUACUGUGUUUCCAUUAAACUGUUUCUGGGUUAUGAUAUUGAGAAAUUUAUGAGUUUCUCACCAGAUUUGGGGGAAAAGGGUUUUCAUUGAUGGGGUUGGGGUUACGUUUUUUAUGGGGGUUGGUUGAAGGUUGGGAGAUGUGGUUUUGAUAGCAAUGGUGUUAGGGAAAGCUUCAUGAAUGCCAAAGAAUUUGCUGGGUUUUUAUUACAUAUUAAGAAGAACCCUUGAGUUUUUUUAUUUCAUUUUGCUGUGUACUCUGAACUGAUUAAUGUUCAUGGUUAAUGGGGUUAUUGAUUGAUAUAAAAUCUGGAUUGAGGAAAAAUGAUCUGAAAUUUUGAGUUUGAAUUUGAGAUUGUUUUGGAGAGGAUGAAUUGACGAUGUAUUUAUUACUCUCUUCAAAUUGUAACUCAUUUUUGUGA